AGCGGAGCAUGGAAAAGUAGCUCUAGAAAAUGAAACCUGUAAUAGUAGGAAGAAGAACAACGACUGAAAGACUGGUGGAAUAACGUGAAGGGUAGAAGCUGGGAAUCAGAGCCCAAAUUGUAAGAGAACAAAUGGAGAAGGCAGAGAGCCCCAGAAGGUGUGUGUGGAGCCUGGGCUGAGUCCACACUGAAGACAGAGAAUGGAGAGAGGAGCUGGAAGACAGGAUAUCAGCAAGUUUGGAAUAUGAGAAUUUCGCAAAGAACAAGGCCAUGGUGGAGCAUGUGGUUGCCCGAGGAGGGGAGAAUAAGCACAAGCAGAGUCCAGAAAACUUAAGGGAAACCAAGGAAUGCAAGCAGCAGCAGCGUUAGCUGAGCGGGGAAGCCUUGGAGAGUCACUUAGUCCACAGUGAGCCUGUGCCCCUGCCACGGAGCCCCAGAAGAUGGAUCAGGAUUCGUUUGUACUGCUGGAGCGCUGUACCAGUUCCCAGAGGAGGAGAAGGUGCCCACGAGGCUGUGCCCCAGAUCCUGAGCUUCAACCUUGGAGCUGCCUUACGGUGGAUGUCUUCCAAGGACCCUAGACUGCGACCAGAUUUCCGCUCCUCGGGACAAUGCCUGCCAACACCUGGGUUCCAAGGUAGCCCAAAGCAGCUGAUACUUCCCAGGUCUCCGGAGGAAACUUCUGGUAUCGGUAGCUCCCGCCUCUGACUUGGCCAGCUGGAGAAAUCGAGGCAAGUUCACAAAGUCUAAUAGGGGCGUCCUUGCCUUAACGAUCAGUGAUGCUGUGCCUUUGUCUCUGAGAACUUCAGUGCUUUCCAGACUUCACUAUCCUCUCUCCAUAUAAAAUCCUGUAAAUAGGGGU